rnacentral:rRNA from 1 species
GAAAGGAUUUAUUCGGUAAAAGAUGGGCCCGCAUCUGAUUAGCUAGUUGGUGAGAUAAUAGCCCACCAAGGCAACGAUCAGUAGCCGACCUGAGAGGGUGACCGGCCACAUUGGGACUGAGACACGGCCCAAACUCCUACGGGAGGCAGCAGUGGGGAAUAUUGCACAAUGGGCGAAAGCCUGAUGCAGCAACGCCGCGUGAAGGAAGACGGUUUUCGGAUUGUAAACUUCUAUCAAUAGGGAAGAAAGAAAUGACGGUACCUAAAUAAGAAGCCCCGGCUAACUACGUGCCAGCAGCCGCGGUAAUACGUAGGGGGCAAGCGUUAUCCGGAAUUACUGGGUGUAAAGGGAGAGUAGGCGGCAAGGUAAGCGAUAUGUGAAAGCCUUAAGCUUAACUUAAGGAUUGCAUAACGAACUAUCUAGCUAGAGUACAGGAGAGGAAAGCGGAAUUCCUAGUGUAGCGGUGAAAUGCGUAGAUAUUAGGAAGAACACCAGUGGCGAAGGCGGCUUUCUGGACUGAAACUGACGCUGAGGCUCGAAAGCGUGGGGAGCGAACAGGAUUAGAUACCCUGGUAGUCCACGCUGUAAACGAUGAGUGCUAGGUGUCGGGGAGGAAUUCCCG